GACGAACGCUGGCGGCGUGCUUAACACAUGCAAGUCGAACGGAAAGGCCCUGCUUUUGUGGGGUGCUCGAGUGGCGAACGGGUGAGUAACACGUGAGUAACCUGCCCUUGACUUUGGGAUAACUUCAGGAAACUGGGGCUAAUACCGGAUAGGAGCUCCUGCUGCAUGGUGGGGGUUGGAAAGUUUCGGCGGUUGGGGAUGGACUCGCGGCUUAUCAGCUUGUUGGUGGGGUAGUGGCUUACCAAGGCUUUGACGGGUAGCCGGCCUGAGAGGGUGACCGGCCACAUUGGGACUGAGUUACGGCCCAGACUCCUACGGGAGGCAGCAGUGGGGAAUAUUGCACAAUGGGCGGAAGCCUGAUGCAGCAACGCCGCGUGCGGGAUGACGGCCUUCGGGCUGUAAACCGCUUUCGCCUGUGACGAAGCGUGAGUGACGGUAAUGGGUAAAGAAGCACCGGCUAACUACGUG
rnacentral:rRNA from 1 species